rnacentral:rRNA from 1 species
GGCCUUCGGGUCGUAAAAGCUCUGUUGUUAGGGCGAAGAACAAGUACCGGAGUAACUGCCGGUACCUUGACGAGUACCUAACCAGGCAAAGCCACGGCUAACUACGUGCCAGCAGCCGCGGUAAUACAGUAGGUGGCACGAGCGUUGUCCGGAAUUAUUGGGCGUAAAGCGCGCGCAGGCGGAUCCUUUAACGGUCUGAUGUGAAAGCCCACGGCUCAACCGUGGAGGGUCAUUGGAAAACUGGCCGGGACUUGAGUACAGAAGAGGAAAGCGGAAUUCCACGUGUAGCGGAUGAACCAUGCGUAGAGAUGUGGAGGAACACCAGUGGCGAAGGCGGCUUUCUGGUACCUCGUAACUGACGCUGAGGCGCGAAAGCGUGGGGAGCAAACAGGAUUAGAUACAC